UUUGAUGUUCUAACUCGGCCCCAUGAUCUGGGGUGAGGACAGUGUCUGGUGGGUAGUUUGACUGGGGCGGUCUCCUCCCAAAGAGUAACGGAGGAGCACGAAGGUUAGCUAAUCACGGUCGGACAUCGUGAGGUUAGUGCAAAGGCAUAAGCUAGCUUGACUGCGAGAGUGACGGCUCGAGCAGGUACGAAAGUAGGUCUUAGUGAUCCGGUGGUUCUGAAUGGAAGGGCCAUCGCUCAACGGAUAAAAGGUACUCCGGGGAUAACAGGCUGAUACCGCCCAAGAGUUCAUAUCGACGGCGGUGUUUGGCACCUCGAUGUCGGCUCAUCACAUCCUGGGGCUGAAGUAGGUCCCAAGGGUAUGGCUGUUCGCCAUUUAAAGUGGUACGCGAGCUGGGUUUAGAACGUCGUGAGACAGUUCGGUCCCUAUCUGCCGUGGGCGUUGGAAGAUUGAGAGGGGCUGCUCCUAGUACGAGAGGACCGGAGUGGACGAAUCACUGGUGUUCGGGUUGUCAUGCCAAUGGCAUUGCCCGGUAGCUAAAUUCGGAAGAGAUAACCGCUGAAAGCAUCUAAGCGGGAAACUUGCCUCGAGAUGAGUCUUCCCUGGGGCUUAAAGCCCCCUGAAGGAACGUUAAAGACUAUGACGUUGAUAGGCUGGGUGUGUAAGUGCAGCGAUGUAUUGAGCUAACCAGUACUAAUGAUCCGUGAGGCUUAACCUUACAACACCGAAGGUGUUU
rnacentral:rRNA from 1 species